GACGAACGCUGGCGGCGUGCUUAACACAUGCAAGUCGAACGGAAAGGCCCUGCUUUUGUGGGGUGCUCGGGUGGCGAACGGGUGAGUAACACGUGAGUAACCUGCCCUUGACUUUGGGAUAACUUCAGGAAACUGGGUCUCAUAGCGUAUAGGAGCUCCGGCUGCAUGGUGGGGGUUGGAAAGUUUCGGCGGUUGGGGAUGGACUCGCGGCUUAUCAGCUUGUUGGUGGGGUAGUGGCUUACCAAGGCUUUGACGGGUAGCCGGCCUGAGAGGGUGACCGGCCACAUGGGGACUGAGAUACGGCCCAGACUCCGACGGGAGGCAGCAGUGGGGAAUAUUGCACAAUGGGCGGAAGCCUGAUGCAGCAACGCCGCGUGCGGGAUGACGGCCUUCGGGUUGUAAACCGCUUUCGCCUGUGACGAAGCGUGAGUGACGGUAAUGGGUAAAGAAGCACCGGCUAACUACGUG
rnacentral:rRNA from 1 species